GUCGUGAGAUGUUGGGUUAAGUCCCGCAACGAGCGCAACCCCCGUCGCAUGUUGCCAGCAUUUAGUUGGGGACUCAUGCGAGACUGCCGGUGACAAACCGGAGGAAGGUGGGGAUGACGUCAAGUCAUCAUGCCCCUUAUGUCCAGGGCUACACACGUGCUACAUUGGCCGGUACAAAGGGCUGCGAUGCCGCGAGGCGGAGCGAAUCCCAAAAAGCCGGUCUCGGUUCGGAUUGGAGGCUGAAACUCGCCUCCAUGAAGCCGGAGUUGCUAGUAAUCNCGGAUCAGCAAUGCCGCGGUGAAUACGUUCCCGGGCCUUGUACACAC
rnacentral:rRNA from 1 species